CGUGUAGGCGGUUUUGUCAGUCAGCUGUGAAAGGCGUCGGCUCAACCGAAGCAGGGCAGCUGAUACUGCAAGGCUCGAGGAUCGGAGAGGGAAGUGGAAUUCCUGGUGUAGCAGUGAAAUGCGUAGAUAUCAGGAAGAACACCAAUGGCGAAGGCGACUUCCUGGCCGGUUUCUGACGCUGACGGCGCGAAAGCCAGGGGAGCAAACG
rnacentral:rRNA from 1 species